rnacentral:rRNA from 1 species
ACGAACCGUACAAACGUUAUUCGGAAUUAUUGGGCUUAAAGGGUGCGUAGGCGGCGCUGUAAGUCGGGUGUGAAAGCCCACGGCUCAACCGUGGAAUUGCGCCCGAUACUGCAGUGCUUGAGGGAGACAGGGGUGAGUGGAACUGAUGGUGGAGCGGUGAAAUGCGUUGAUAUCAUCAGGAACACCGGUGGCGAAAGCGGCUCACUGGGUCUCUUCUGACGCUGAGGCACGAAAGCUAGGGUAGCGAACGGG